UCCGGCCAUAUCACGUUGAAACACAGGUUCUCGUACGAUCUUUGAAAUUAAGCAACGUCGAGCCUGGUCAGUACCUAGGUGAAUGACCAUCUGGGAAUACUAAGUGC